CCUGGCGGCCAUAGCGAGUGAGAACCACCCGAUCCCAUUCCGAACUCGGAAGUGAAAGCGCUCAGCGCCGAUGAUAGUGUGGGGCUUCCCCAUGUGAAAGUAGGACACCGCCAGGC
rnacentral:rRNA from 1 species